AAAACUCAAGGGGCCAAAGAGCCGCGUGUGACUCACGAAGUCCAGUUUGCCGACCACUGAUCUGUACUAAUAAGAGGGUAAUAUGCUAACUAAACCAGACAUCAUCUGGAUGACUUUCUGGCCAAAGCCAUGGUGGCAGGGCUAAAGCAGAGGUGGUUAGGAGUGAUCAGGCUGGCAGGGAGAGCUGUUGGGAUUGCAAGAGGGAUGUCUGACUACCUGGGAAGGGGCCUAAACCAGCAGUUGGACAUCCCCCCUAGGAGUCCUGAAUUGAGGCAAUGUAAGAUUACAUAGUAAUUUUUUAUAGGCUCUUAACUGUUCACAUUUAAUCUCACUUUCCUAUGAACUGCUCUUGGUCCUGAGGAAUUCAGCCACCUGUCCUCUCAAAGUCCUAGCCUCUGAUCCUUAUGAUGAUACUGUAUUCAUAUGAUGUUCUUAUAAAAUAACAGAGAUGAAAAAGUAUUUGCAAAGAUUGCCAGGACAAUAAGCAAGUUAAACUUUUGUGAGCCUUAGUUUUCUCAUCAGCUCCUUUUAGAUAUAAAAUGCUAUUGUAAAAAGUAACUGAUAGCCUGGCUGGUAUGACAUGGAGCGAUGUCCUAUACACCAAAAGGUCACGGGGUUCGAUUCCCAGUCAGGGUGGGUACUCAGGAGUUGAUUGAUGGCUUUUGAUUUAAUGGUCCUGUUUUGCCAUCAAAAUACUGAAUGCAUUUUGGUACAUUUGACAAAGUGCAAAUCAGCCCAUUUCCCAAAAUUCUGAUUCUUUGACUUUUUAUCUUGAUGAUGGGAAGGAGAGAGACAUUUACACAUAUCUGCUUUAAUUUCUUCCCCUAAAACUAGCUACUUGGUGGGAGGGGCAGAGGCAGGGAAUGCCUGUAGAGAGAAUCAAGAUUUUAACAAAAUUUGUCUUAGCUUAACUAGGGUUUUUCAGCCUAUAGCAAUAAUUCUAGUUUUAGAAGUAGCCACAUAUCAUUGUUCUUUCCUAUCUCCUUUUAAAAAUACUUCCUCUUUCUGUCUGACUCAAAGAUCUGGUUGUAUUUUAAAAUUUAACUUCACUAAACCUAAUUCACUGUAUAAAAUGAAUUGUUUACACUGGCCCCUAUUUCCCAUCAUUCCUAGGUAUGACCAAGAUUGCCACAGGCUACUAACCUAACCUCUCCAAGUACCAAAAAGGGGAUUAGCUCAUAAUAUAUACCGAAAAUUUUACAGGGUUGGUGUGGCUAGAGGGCAUAAGAAUAUGAAGAAUAUGAAUAACUUAUUCCUUUCUGGCUAUAAGAAUUCAUAAAAUUAGUCUUCAUUUAUUUUAGAACAACGAUAAGCAAACUUUUUCUAUAAAGAGCCAGAAAAAAAUAUUUUUGGCUUUGUGGGAUAGUGACCUCCCUCACAACUGCUUAAUUGGCCUUGCUACACAGAAGCAGCCAAAAACAAUAGUUAAUGGGUGUGGCUGUGCUCUAAUAAAAUUGUACUUAAAUGAAGGGGUGGGGGCUGCAUUUGGCCCACCAGUUGUCACCUGACAGCCCUAUUUAGAAAAGUGUAAAAUAUUAAGGAGCAAGUAAACAGGCUUUAUAAAGAGACUAGAUUUGUCUGGUUUAAUGCAAGGAUAAUAGCAUUUUCAGUAGUCUAGGCCAAAUAGGUCUGCUUUUAAAUGUGUCCCACAUUAGAUCUUGACAGGUAGUGUCUCAGUGCUUUGGAAUUAUUUCACAUUUGUGUCACUACUUCCUCAUUUGUAAAAUAGAUGUGCCUUACAGCACUGUUGUGGGAAUAUUUUUUUGAAAAAGUUUUAAUUCUAUAAAUUCUUAAAAACAUUAAUUGCAAGAAAAGCAUUAGGAUUAGACAAAGAAUAGAACUACUGGGUUAAUUAGAAAAAUGGGCUUGAAAGGGAGACAUCAUACCUUUGAAAAGAGGACAAUUAUAAUAAACUAGGGGCACGAAUUUCGUGCACUGGGGGGAGAGGUCCCUCAGGCCAGCCUGCCCCCUCUCACAUACUGAGAGCCCUCAGGGGAUGUCCUACUGAUGGCUUAG